UUCAUUCUCUCUCUUCCAUUUUCUCUCGUCUCUUCUCUCUUCUCCAUUAAACCCUAGCCGCCGUCGAUCCUGUCUCCGGUCACCACCACCUUAAUGAAAAUAUUAAGCCCAUUUUCAUAUUCCCAUCUCACGGGUGUCACAAAGAACCGGUUGGAUUCUUAUUUCAAGCGAUUUCGCCAUCGAGCGCCGCCUCUCCUUCUCUGAUACUCGCAAAACAAUCGCAUCAAUGUUCAGUGUUAAUUUGCUUCUCUGUGUCGAGUUUUAUCAUUUUUACUUCUAUGGUAAACAAUCAUAGGCCUCGCCGACGUCGUCGUGACCGUCGAUGCCAGAGACGAAGAUCUAGAUCUGAAAUUGAAAUCAUAGGAUGCGAUAAGACUAAUCUGAUGCGGUGCGGAACAUACACUACUCGAUGUACUCGCGGAAUGAGAUUUGGUGGAAACCGCCGUGAAACAAAAUCUUCUUCAUUUUCUAUCUUCUCUCUCUUUGUCUUCUCUCCCAUUUUCUAUCUUCUCUCUCUUUGUCUUCAAACCCUAGCGCCGCAAAAAUUCUAUCUUUAUUUCACUCAUCUCUUCGUAUCUUCUUAUCUGCAGAAGUACAAAUGCUUUGGUGGCAAGGUGGCUCUCUAAGCAUAUCUUUCAAAAAUUCAAGUUUGAACAAGAACAAUCCAUUCUCUGUAAGCAUAUCUUUCAUAUUUUCUAUGUUUACCUUUCAGUUCAUGUUAGAUUUAUUAAUAAUGUUGGUAUGACAGUGAAGAUGACAAACAAGACCUAGGCAAAGAAAAUACAGUCUCUGCCUCAAUGUCAAAGGUUGCUUAAUAUGAAAGGUUGUUUUAGUUUUUUUUAGGACAGAAGGAUUUCCUCCCAAAUUGAAAGUGAAUUUUCUUUUUGUUUUUCUCAUUUUCAACUAACAUUGAACUAUUGACUUUUACAUAUUCUCUGUAGCAUAUGCACUUUUUAUGGAAGUGUGUCCACUCUCUAAUACAUAUCGAUUCAUGUGAAUUCAUUUUCUCAAUUUAUUGUCGUGUUAUUUUGUGUUAUGUUCGGUGUCAGUGUUUUGCAUGAUUUAGUUAUUUAUGUGAGUAGGUUCUUUGAUAUUUGUGAUACUAAUAACAUUGUUGAUUUAUGUGAAUAUGUUCGGUGUCAGUGUUGCGAGUUCAUUUGGAUUUUUUUUAAUUUUAUUUUGAAUUUCAAUUUUCAUUUUUUAGUUUGUUCAUUCAUUAUCAGUGUACUCUUUUUGUUAUUUCACUCAAUCAUUUUACAAAAUAAAUAGUUUUUUUUUACUUGUAUCAUUAUUUUUGUUAGGCCGCUUGCAAACAAUUUAUUGAGUGGAAGUGUUCCUUCCAGUAUUUGGCAAAACAAUAUUUCAAAUCCUGAUAAAAGAUUGCCACUUAGCAUAAGGGCAGCCUUAACAUUGAUGUUCAUGCAUCUAAAGAGAAAUUUGUCAAGGAUAAGUCCUUCAGGUUUGUUGACAUGUUCUGAUAGUGCAGUUGAACCAACACUGACCCCAAUUUCGAUUCACGAGAGCGGUGAGGAUGCAUUAGACAUGACUUUUAGUCAGAUGGUUUGUGAUAUUCACUUGUGCCUUGAUUUGUUAGUUAUAUUUGAUAAAUAUAUAAUAUAUUUUUUUACGACUAAAAAAUGAUUUCGAUAGAGGCAAAACAGGCAGAAGAAUGGAAGAAGAGAGAUUCAAGACUCUUGAAUUAUUGGAAGGAACCAAAUUGGUCCCUGCCAUUCUAUUUGUGUUAUUUCUGUUUUAUACUGAAAUUAUCAUAAAUUGUACCAAUUUUAUUUUGUAAAAGAUACCAGUUUCUGCCAACUUCCUAACCACACCGGAGUGUAAACCUGAGAUUGCAACUCUGUUGUGUCAUGCAUUCUGGGCAGUGCAUCAACAACUUUGUUCUCCAACCCGGGUUUGUAAACUAUGUCAAAAUAGUACCCUUAGCUUUGCGGCCUAAUUUUGAUGAUCCAUGGUUGUAAUCCUUUUUGCAGUCACUGUUUUAAGCUCUUUUGAUGGCUGCUAACUGUAAAUUUAUGUCCCAAUUAAUAUAGUCUCCAAUGUUGUAUUGUCAAUGCCUCCAAUGUUGUAUUGCUAAUGCUGCUCCAUCAAUUUUUUUCCGAAUGUAUAUUUGGUUAAAUUGCGAUCGCUUAAAGCUUUACUCUGUAAAAAGCACAUAGGCCAGCCUUGCUGCAAAAGAAUGGCACCCAACCCAUUACCCAGAGCAUCAUUUUCAAUUACAAACUCCUGAGUAAAAUCAGGAAGAGCUAGCGCCGGGGCUGUUGUCACCUCCUUAAGAAUCUCAGAGGCUUCUCUCUCCUUAAACUUUGCAGGGUGGACACAUAAGCUUCUGAGAAGGGUAUUGAAGUUGCUGCUGCAUUUGUUAUCGUUUCUGAAAAAUUAAUAAUGUUUUUGUUGUUGCCAGUGCAAUUUUAUAAGUUGAAUAAAUACUUUGUUGUGACUUGUGUCAAAAUUUAUAACUAAUCAUGCUGAUUGCAAAUCAAAUUGUGACUGCCAUUUUUUCUCUCGGUGACAUGAUGGUCUAUAUUAAUCUAAAAAUAAUUUUGGAACCAAUAUAAAGUUCUGUUAUUGAUGGACCUUAUGUGAAGAGCCACUUGCA